rnacentral:rRNA from 1 species
GACGUAGGGCGCGAGCGUUGUCCGGAAUUAUUGGGCGUAAAGGGCUCGUAGGCGGUUUGUCGCGUCGGGAGUGAAAACCUUGGGCUUAACUCAGGGCUUGCUUUCGAUACGGGCAGACUAGAGGUAUGCAGGGGAGAACGGAAUCCCUGGUGUAGCGGUGAAAUGCGCAGAUAUCAGGAGGAACACCGGUGGCGAAGGCGGUUCUCUGGGCAUGAUCUGACGCUGAGGAGCGAAAGUGUGGGGAGCGAACAGG